UACUAAGCGUGCCUGGCCGGGCCGUGCCGUGCCUGGCCCGUUUACCCCAGACCGGGCCGUGCCGUGCCGGACCGGCCCAUUUGGCCAGGUAUAGUCCAAGCUGCUCCUCCUCCCCACACCACACAGAAGACACCGAAGCCGCACCAGAGGUCGGCCCGCUAGGAUCGAGAUGGGGCCCGCAGGGCCUAGAUCUAGGCCGGGGGCGCGCCGCCGACCACCCCGCACCACCAAGCCGUCCCGCAGCCAAGGAGCCGCGCCGCCACCUCGCUCGCCGCCGGCCACCACCGUAGGGCCGGACCGCCGCCAAACCGAGCUGCACUGCCGCUGUCUCCUGCCCGGGAAGAAGAAACGAGCGCGCGGGGACUGGAAGUCCCGCCGCCGCCGACACCACCCGGGCCAGCGCCGGUGGCGACCGCCGGCGGCGGCGGGAGGAAAGGGGGAGGGGGCCGCCUAGGAGGAGGAGGCCGAGCGCCGCCCCGGCCACCUCCCGGGGAGGCGGCGGGGGCGGAUCUGGGAGGGAGGAGGGAGGGGCGGGGCCGGGCUCGAGCAACCGGCGGCCGGCGGCGGCGCGGGGGCGCUAGGACGGCCGGCGGCGGCGGGAGGUCGCUAGGGGAGGAACCCUAGCGAGAGCGGGAUCUGCCGCACCGUAUCCCCCGCCGCUCUGCCGCCGCGGCGGGAAGACGCACCGGAGGUCGCCGUCGCCGUACCAAGCGCCGCGCUGCACGGCAUCCGAGCCACCGCCUUUGCUCGCGUGGUGCUAGCCGUCGCUGCACUGCUCCUUCCACCGGCGUGUGGGGCCAGAGGGGGGAAGCGUCGUCUCUGGCCUCCGUGGGCUGCGCCGCCACCCGCGUCGUCGAGCUCCGCCACCGGACUGCUGGGCCGCCACCCGCGUCGUCGAGCUCCGCCACCGGACUGCUGUUGGCGAGGGGGCGGUGAAGUCGAGCGGUGGAGGAGGAUGAGCUGGAUGAGCAUGCUUUAUGAUUUCAAGUUGAAUUGCCAGCCAUCAACUGUAGAUGUUCUGCAACUUCUGCUGCUCCCGAGAGAGAGCGACAUCGCAUCUGAACCCUCAAUGGAUUCUUUCCGUGCAUCUCCAAAGUCCAUAUCCAUGUCUCCUGUAUUCUAAAAAACAAGAAAAAUAAAGAAAGCCCUUCCGUAUUAUCAUCUAUAAGAUACAUACAGAGGAAGGUUAGCUAUAUGCACCUCUUCUCGUGGUGUUUCACUGUGGUCUAUCAUCGUUUCAUCAGUGAGUAUGUCGGAACCCAUCAAUUUAUAUCUAUGCUGAAAUAUAAUUAAUACUUUUUACUGCA